UACAUGGGGUGCAAACGUUGCUCGGAAUUAUUGGGCGUAAAGCGCACGUAGGCGGUUUGUUAAGUCGGAUGUGAAAUCCCUCGGCUCAACUGAGGAAGUGCAUCCGAAACUGGCAGGCUUGAGUACUAAAGAGGGUCGCGGAAUUCCCGGUGUAGAGGUGAAAUUCGUAGAUAUCGGGAGGAACACCGGUGGCGAAGGCGGUUCUCUGGGCCUUACCUGACGCUGAGGAGCGAAAGCGUGGGGAGCGAACAGG
rnacentral:rRNA from 1 species